CGCGUAGGCGGACUAUUAAGUCAGGGGUGAAAUCCCGGGGCUCAACCCCGGAACUGCCUUUGAUACUGGUAGUCUUGAGUUCGAGAGAGGUGAGUGGAACUCCGAGUGUAGAGGUGAAAUUCGUAGAUAUUCGGAAGAACACCAGUGGCGAAGGCGGCUCACUGGCUCGAUACUGACGCUGAGGUGCGAAAGUGUGGGGAGCAAAACA
rnacentral:rRNA from 1 species